CAGCCGCCGCGGUAAUACGUAGGUGGCAAGCGUUGUCCGGAAUUAUUGGGCGUAAAGCGCGCGCAGGCGGUCCCUUAAGUCUGAUGUGAAAGCCCCCGGCUUAACCGGGGAGGGUCAUUGGAAACUGGGGGACUUGAGUGCAGAAGAGAAGAGCGGAAUUCCAUGUGUAGCGGUGAAAUGCGCAGAGAUAUGGAGGAACACCAGUGGCGAAGGCGGCUCUUUGGUCUGUAACUGACGCUGAGGCGCGAAAGCGUGGGGAGCAAACAGGAUUAGAGACCCCCGUAGUCCCUGUUUCUUAUAC
rnacentral:rRNA from 1 species